GUUGAUAUAGCUCAGUUGGUUAGAGUGCCUGGUUGACAUCCAGGAGGUCGGUGGUUCGAGUCCACUUAUCAACACCA
rnacentral:tRNA from 1 species